UUAUAGGAGAGAGGCGCCCAAGGUGAGGCUGAUGACUGGGAUGAAGUCGUAACAAGGUAGCCCUACCGGAAGGUGGGGCUGGAUCACCUCCUUUU
rnacentral:rRNA from 1 species